CCUCUCGGAUGAUGACAUGGUGUCGUACAGCCUUGCUGGCAUCGACUUCGACUAUAUGUCGUUUGUCUCCUCGGUUUAUGCCAGGACCGUCGCCAUCCAGCCCAACGAGCUCUACUCCCAGCUCAUCAACUUCGAGA
rfam:Hordeum vulgare subsp. vulgare, WGS project CAJW01000000 data, contig: morex_contig_41250